rnacentral:rRNA from 1 species
GACGAACGCUGGCGGCGUGGAUUAGGCAUGCAAGUCGAACGGUAGAUAUCCUUCGGGGUAUUGAGAGUGGCGAACGGGUGAGUAACACGUAGGUAAUCUACCCUCAAAUCGGGGACAACCCAGGGAAACUUGGGCUAAUACCGGAUGAGUGCAGCACCUAAAUCAUCCAUACGGAAUCUGGUUAAGAUUGGGGUUUUGUAUGGUUGGGUGAUUUAGGUGCUGUAUAAAAGAUGGCUUCGGCUGUCGUUUGAGGAUGAGCCUGCGCUCUAUUAGUUAGUUGGUGAGGUAAUGGCUCACCAAGGCGAUGAUAGAUAGGCGGCCUUAACGGGUGGUCGCCCACACUGGGAUUGAGAUACGGCCCAGACUCCUACGGGAGGCAGCAGUCGAGAAUAGUCUACAAUGGACGAAAGUCUGAUAGUGCGACGCCGCGUGAACGAUGAAUCCCUUCGGGGUGUAAAGUUCUUUUAUAUGUGAGCAAUGCCUUAUAUGUGAAUGC